GGCGUUGGAACACAGGUUUCCGUACGAUCACCGAAGUUAAGCAACUUCGAGCAUGGACAGUACCUAGAUAGGUGACCGCUUGGGAUAC